GCAAGCGUUGUCCGGAUUUAUUGGGCGUAAAGCGAGCGCAGGCGGUUUUUUAGGUCUGAUGUGAAAGCCUUCGGCUUAACCGGAGAAGUGCAUCGGAAACCGGGAGACUUGAGUGCAGAAGAGGACAGUGGAACUCCAUGUGUAGCGGUGAAAUGCGUAGAUAUAUGGAAGAACACCAGUGGCGAAGGCGGCUGUCUGGUCUGUAACUGACGCUGAGGCUCGAAAGCAUGGGUAGCGAACAGGAUUAGAUACCCUGGUAGUCCAUGCCGUAAACGAUGAGUGCUAAGUGUUGGAGGGUUUCCGCCCUUCAGUGCUGCAGCUAACGCAUUAAGCACUCCGCCUGGGGAGUACGACCGCAAGGUUGAAACUCAAAGGAAUUGACGGGGGCCCGCACAAGCGGUGGAGCAUGUGGUUUAAUUCGAUGCUACGCGAAGAACCUUACCAGGUCUUGACAUCUUCUGCCAACCUAAGAGAUUAGGCGUUCCCUUCGGGGACAGAAU
rnacentral:rRNA from 1 species